rnacentral:rRNA from 1 species
UACGUAGGGGGCGAGCGUUGUCCGGAUUCAUUGGGCGUAAAGAGCGUGUAGGCGGCUAGGUAGGUCCGUUGUGAAAACUCGAGGCUCAACCUCGAGACGUCGAUGGAAACCAUCUGGCUAGAGUCCGGAAGAGGAGAGUGGAAUUCCUGGUGUAGCGGUGAAAUGCGCAGAUAUCAGGAAGAACACCCGUGGCGAAGGCGGCUCUCUGGUACGUGACUGACGCUGAGACGCGAAAGCGUGGGGAGCGAACAGG